rnacentral:tRNA from 1 species
CCCCGCAUGGCGGAACCGGUAGACGCGGUUGCCUCAAAGCAGCUGUCCGAGAGGGCGUGUCCGUUCGAGUCGGACUUCGGGGACCA